UGCUAUUGGGAUUCGACUAAGCCAUGCGAGUCGUGGGGGUUCGGCCCUCGGCGAACGGCUCAGUAACACGUAGAUAAUUUGCCCUUAGGUGGAGGAUACCCUCGGGAAACUGAGAAUAAUACUCCAUAGAUUUAGAAUGCUGGAAUGCUUUUAAAUUGAAAGAUUUAUCGCCUAAGGAUAAGUCUGCGGACUAUCAGGUCGUAGUUAGGGUAAAUACCUGACUAGCCUACGACGGAUACGGGUUGUGAGAGCACUAGCCCGGAGAUGAUAUCUGAGACACGAUAUCAGGCCCUACGGGGCGCAGCAGGCGCGAAAACUUCGCACUGUGCGAAAGCACGACGAGGGAAUCCCAAGUGCUGGCUCGUAAGAGUCAGCUGUUUCUUUGUCUAAAAAACAGAGAGAGUAAGAGCUGGGUAAGACGGGUGCCAGCCGCCGCGGUAAUACCUGCAGCUCAAGUGGUGGCCGCCAUUAUUGGGCCUAAAACGUCCGUAGCCGGUUCUAUAAAUGCCUGGGUAAAUCGUACGGCUUAACCGUACGAAUUCCGGGUAGACUGUUCAACUUGGGACCGGGAGAGGCUAGAGGUACUCCUGGGGUAAAGGUGAAAUUCUGUAAUCCUAGGGGGACCACCAGUGGCGAAGGCGUCUAGCUAAAACGGGUCUGACGGUGAGGGAC
rnacentral:rRNA from 1 species